rnacentral:rRNA from 1 species
AUUGAACGCUGGCGGCAAGCCUAACACAUGCAAGUCGAACGAGUGGCGGACGGGUUACUAUUCUCUUGGAAACUGCCUGCUGGAGCGGGAUAACUACUGGAAACGGUAGCUAAUCCCUCAUCCCAUCCUUUGUGCCCUGUUGGGAUUAGCUAGUAGGUGGGGUAAAGGCUCACCUAGGCGACGAUCCCUAGCUGUUCUGAGAGGAUGAACAGCCACACUGGAACUGUGACACGGUCCAGACUCCUACGGGAGGCAGCAGUGGGGAUUAUUGCACAAUGGGCGCAAGCCUGAUGCAGCCAUGCCGCGUGUAUGAAGAAGGCCUUCGGGUUGUAAAGUACUUUCAGCGGGGAGGCGUUACCAGAAGAAGAAGCAACGGCUAACUACGUGCCAGCAGCCGCGGUAAUAG